CAGGUCUCCAAGGUGAACAGCCU
rnacentral:ncRNA from 3 species